rnacentral:misc_RNA from 1 species
GAAUGACAUCCUUACACCAAAUGAUUUCCUUGCUUGGCAUUGAGCUUGGAAGAAGCCUCACUUGUGUUUAAUGAUUGUCUUUCUUGACAUGGUGAAGUGAUUUGAGUGUCCUGAUAUGGGACCUUGUGCAGUAGCUCUUCCAGGGAGGGUAGACUAGAAAGAGCUAACUGAAGGUGGCACAAUUUACUUCAGUCUUCAUAGGAAUGAAGAGAGCUCACUGAUUAGGGGAAAACAUCAUUUAAUAUGCGGUUGCUUGUAUAGAUAUACUGGCUUACUGACUCUGCGCAUGCAGGGUUUUUACAGCUAGAAUUGGUCAAAAUUUAUUAGGUUCUCAAACUUGCUAAUUGGCAUUCUCAAACUUGCUAAAUUGGCUAUCUAUCAUCAUUGAAGCAUAUUGUUAGGAGCCAGCUUUUCUUCUCCAUAGUCCAGAAACUUUUAGCUCCAAUAAAUGUCUGUGCUUCUGAGAAACAAGAUUCUGAUUGUUUUGUUUUCCCCUUAAGCCUUCUAUCUGUCUUGUCAAGGGGACUUUCUUUGCCUAUUCAUCAGUGUAUUUUUGGCAUUCCUCCAACUAAAUUGCCAAACUUCUCCCCACACAAAAUUUCUAACAAUAAUUUGCUCUUUAGUUCCUGAUUUGUUUUCGUAGCGAAUUGUUUGAGCAGCAGGCAAGCAUUAGCUGUAUCAAGGUCCACACAUUCUUAAUGGUCCAAGGCUAAUUUAUCCGUCCGAUGUUCAGCAUUUUCAUGUCUAUGUAUAAAAAUAAUUCCUAUUUGAUUAGGGCUUCAUAGUUCAUACAAUGAAGUCUUUUAGAUAAACUUUUUGCUCUCAUCAUCUUGAUAUGAAAAAGCAAUGUGAAAUCUUAUUAAUAUUAAUCAGGAAUAAAAGUCCCCUAGAACCACAAAACCUGCUAUUGUUGUUGUGAAAUAUUGUCUUUGAUCAGGAGGGUUUUGCAAUUGAAAAUUGUUUAAUCCAAUAUAUUCAAAGCAUAAUUGUGUGUUAUAAGUUUUUUUUUUUGUUUCUGUGUUAAACAGUUCUAAUGGACAGAUCGCUUGUAAGAUGUCUUAUCAACAGUAUUUCUCGAUUCAUUCUUCUAGUUUCAUGCCAGACCAGGGCACAUAUGCCUAUUCAAAAGGAUUAUAGGAGCAUGGCUAUGGUUUUAAAGCGUUUGAAACCAGUGCUUGAUGAAAUUGUUGAUUUCAAAAUAUCUUCUGAUGAAAUCCUAUAUAAAGAGUGUGAAGAACUUGAUUUGGCUGUUAAUGAGGCUCGGGAAUUUAUGGAGAACUGGUAUCCAAAGAUGAGCAAGAUUUGCUGUGUUCAAAAGAGUGAAGCCUUGUUUGUGAAAAUCAGAGCCUCUUCACUAGAGAUUUGUCAAGUACUAUCUAGAUUGUUGCAAUCUUCUUCGUCCACUUCAAGUAUAACUAGCAUUCAGCACUGCAUGCAGGAGCUUCAAUGUUUGAAACAGGAAAUGAUAACAGAACAUAUGGAGGAGGCUUUGAGAAGUAAAAGAGAUGAUGUUGUUCCUUGCACUGAUCACCUAACGAAAAUUAUUGAAGCACUAAAUUUAACAUCGGAUGGGGAACUCUUAAAAGAAAGUGUGGCUGUGGAAAAGGAAAGAAUGAAUAUUCAAGUCAAUAAUGCUAAAGGGUACUUUGAUCAAAUCAACCAAAGUGUGGCUCUUAUCUCUGUAAUACGUAAUUGCUUGCUUAAAGUUGAGUGCUUGGAACCAGAAAGCGGGGUCCCAAUCCCUCCAUACUUCCGCUGCCCUUUAUCACUGGAACUCAUGUUGGAUCCUGUGAUUGUGGCUUCAGGGCAAACUUAUGAGAGGACUUCCAUUCAGAAAUGGCUUGAUCAUGGGUUGAAUAUUUGCCCGAAGACCCGCCAAACACUUGCUCAUACAAAUCUCAUUCCCAAUUACACUGUAAAAGCUAUGAUAGCAAAUUGGUGUGAGGAGAAUCAUAUAAGAGUUUCUAGUAACUCUAAGCAAACCGAUUGUACCUCAGCUCCAGUCCCAUCAGAUCAUUCUUUACUGUGCUCAGAUAGUUUCUGUUGCUCUCUGCAAAGUAGCAAUUCUACAUCAAAAUCAUCUCUUGAAGUCGGAAAUGGAUUUGAGAAGCACAGGGUUGAUUUCUCAUCUAAAUUAAGCGGAGAAACAGCUAAUGGAUUUCAAAUUGGGCAAACUGAAAGCUUUGAGCGCCCAUCCCAUGAACUAUCACAUAUUCACAGCAGGAGUGAAUCAGCCUCAAGUGCCAUAUCCAGUAUUGAGUAUGUGUCUCCAGUAUCAAACGACAUAUCAACAAUGUCCACCAAGCAUGAAAAAGCUCCUGGUUUGUCACAAGAGAUCACAUCCAAAUGCCCAAAUAAAGAAUCAGGAUUUUCUCCUUGGUUGUCUGGAAAUCAAUUCCCCAUUCCUAAAGCAAAAGCUGACCGGGAAAGCAAUGCAAACCAUAACCACAGAACACACUCUGUUUCCUUUUUGGACUUUGGUUCUGAUUAUGUAGAUACAACUUCUCAUGUUAAUAAUUUGAUUGAAGAUCUUAAAAGCCAAUCAAAUGAAUUGCAGACAGCUGCUGCAGCAGAGCUACGGCUUCUUGCUAAGAACAAAAUGGAGAAUCGCAUCAUUAUAGGCCACUGUGGUGCUAUUGCUCCAUUGCUUUCACUACUAUACUCAGAAGUGAAGCUAACUCAGGAGCACGCUGUUACAGCCCUGUUGAACCUAUCAAUCAAUGAAGAAAUUAAAGUUAUGAUUGCAGAAGCGGGAGCACUAGAACCGCUUAUUCAUGUCCUAAAAUCAGGAAAUCAUGGAGCCAAAGAGAAUUCUGCAGCAGCGCUAUUCAGCCUCUCUGUUUUGGAAGAGUACAAGGCUAAAAUUGGCCGUUCCGGUGCUGUCAAAGCCUUGGUGAAUCUUCUAGCCUCUGGGACUCUAAGAGGGAAAAAAGAUGCUGCUACUGCUUUGUUUAACCUUUCAAUCCUUCACGAAAACAAGGCUCGAAUGAUUCAAGCUGGAGCAGUAAAGUAUCUUGUUGAGUUGAUGGAUCCUGCCAAUGGGAUGGUUGACAAGGCUGUUGCUCUUCUUGCAAAUUUGUCAACAGUCGGGGAAGGGCGCAUGGCUAUUGUGCGUGCUGGGGGCAUUCCUUCACUGGUUGAGAUUAUUGAAACAGGAUCUCAUAGGGGAAAGGAAAAUGGUGCUUCUGUAUUGCUGCAAUUGUGCCUUAAUAGUCCCAAGUUCUGUCACCUUGUUUUGCAAGAAGGAGCAGUUCCUCCCCUUGUUGCCUUGUCCCAAUCUGGCACACCAAGAGCAAAGGAAAAGGUAUGCUUUUAACUGUUGUCUGCCCUCUGAACAAAAUGCCCCAAGUUAUGGUAAAGAUUGUUGGUGCCUCCCUCUAGGAAUGAGAGGAAGUAUGAUGGUUAAAUUCCAUGAUACGUCUUCUUUUUUUGCAAAACCACAGUAGUUUUUCCCUUCAGCAUGUUGCAAUAUGCUGUUAUUUUAAUCUAGGAAAGAGCUCCAUCCUUAAUCUUUUGGUGUAUGGUAUAAGCUUCAUAGGUCGUAACACAUAUUAGAUAUUUUGGUAGAAAGCAUGGGAGAAGGUACUUUACAUGGGAUGAGAAUGUAAUUCCAUAUUUGCACUGGUUCAGAAAAUGGGCCAUGGCUAUCAUUUUUCCCCUCCUAGAAGGUAUCAAACCAAGUUGGUUUUAGAUGCAUUGUAAAUUGCAAUGUGUCAGAUCAUGUAUAAUUGAUUUUGCACAUGUUAUGCAUUGCAGGCACAGCAGCUUCUGAGUCAUUUCCGUAAUCAGAGAGAAGUGUCCAUGGGAAAGGGUAAAUCAUGAGAAGAGACAAUUUUUGUUUGAUUAUCUGAUUUUUUAAGAAUCUGUUUGCUCUCCAUCUAGAUGCAUGGGGGCUUUUUUUCCAUAUAUUUUUGGGUUUUAGCUAUAUUCGUUUAUGUUGUAGUCUUUAUUUAUUUCUCAAGUAGGAAAUAGUGUGCUCAUUAGAUUUUAGUUAUUCCCAAAUAUUUGAGUGCGGUCACUGGGGAUUUGUGCUUUAUUUUCUUUUGGUGUCUUAGAAUAGAAGAAUAUGGAUAACCUCGUGUCCUAAGUAAUGUAUAUAUUAUGUAUAUAUAUCUUGUUAACUUUUGCAGUCUGCUAUACAAAAGAAGUACAAAACAAUGAAUAUUGAUGGUAUUUCAUGCAUAAAUGUUCCGAGUUUCUGAAUGUUCGUUUUUGUCAAUGUAUUGAUGUGAACACUUCUUUUGUAACUGGACCUGGAUCAUGUAUUUCCAUGGUGUAUUCAUCAUCUUUGAUGUUCAGUAAAUAGUAUAAUCCUGGAAAAUGUUCCAGGCAUUACAUGAAUGCAUGAAAGGUUAUGGAUAUUCUGCGUAUCAGAAAGGCAUGAUGGAAUUAUCAUCUUGGUUUUUCUGGUAUUUUUUCUUUACUGUUUAGGAAUUUUAUUAUUUUUACUCCAACUUGUGGAGAUCGUUCAUCCCUUUUCAGGGACUUUCUUGAAACUGUAUUUUCUGUUGCAGUUGUAUUUGCUUUGCAAUUUGAAUCAGAAAUUUUGUCAAUUCAGGCCAACUCAAUUAAUCAAUUGAAUCAUAUACAGAACAAGAGAUAUGUUUAUCUCGUAGUGCAGAUCCUAUGUGGUUAAAUUUGGCAGGGAAAAGGUAGUUAUGUAAGCAUAGAUGUGGAAGCCACUUGGGACCCACGAUGGAUCCACUGAGACAUACUUCUUGUUAUGUGCAAAAAUGUAGAGUUCCCUCCUCGUGUGAUGAAGUCUGUUACUCCAGUUACAUCUCAAUCAGACCAAAACAGACUAGGAUUUCCAUGAUCUUUUGACUCUGCAGAGGUGUUCCUGUUCCUACAAUCAUUAUUUUUCAGGCUUUUAGCAUAUUGAUUAAAGUGGCAGCUCACUGCAAGCGCCUGCAAGGGAGGAGGCACCAUUUCAGCUGGGAUGGUACAAAA